rnacentral:lncRNA from 1 species
AUGUCAUAUUCCCUGGGGUACUCCCUCCUCUCUCCAUCUGCCCCCCCAACCGACUGGUCUCCUACUCAGUCUGCCCCCCCCUCCCCAACCCCAACUGCCUCCUCCAUCCCCCCACACCUCCCCAUCUACUCCCCAUCCCUCUGCUGGCCUCUCCAGUCUGGUCCCCACCCCGUCUCCUCCCCUCCCCCAUCUGCCUCCCACCCCUCUCUAUCUGCUCCUCCCUCCUUCCUCCCAUCCCCACCCACCAGUCUGGUCUCCCAACCCCCUGUGCCCCCACCCCUCCCUAGCUGUACCUCCCUCCCUCUACUCCCCUCCUCCACCUGCCCACCCCUGUCUUCCCCCCCUUCUCUGCCUCCUCUCCCCCCAUCUGCUCCUCUGCUGCCCUCCCUCUCGCUGCUCCUCCCCUGUCUGGUGUCCCGGCCCCUCCCGUCUGUUCCCCCCAUCUGUCCCCCUAACUCUGUCUCUACUCUCCUUACCACCCCCCCCCCCGUCUGUCCCCCCCUCCCCCAUUCCGUCUGCUCCCCGCCCCCGCCUGGUCUCCCGCCCCCUGUCUGUCCCCCCGACUCGUCUACUCUCUCCUCUCCCCCCACCGUUGUCUGCCCCUCCCCUAUCUGCCCCCCCACGCUGCUCAUCACCCCCAUCUCCCGCCCCCUCCCAUCGGUUCCCCCGUCUGUCCCCCCCACUCGUGUGUCCCCCCACUCCGUCUACUCUCCCUUCCCCAUCUGCCCCUCCCCCGUCUGCACCCCCUGCUGCUCCCCCUCCCGUCUGCCCCUCGCCCGUCUGUCCUUCCCCCCCCAUCUGUCCCCUCCCCUGUCUCUCGCCCUCUCCCGUCUGUCCCCCCUCCCUCUCCCGCCCGGUCUCCCCCCCGCCGUGUGCCCCUCCCCUGUCUGCCCCCCCUUGUCCUCCCCCGUGGUCUCCUGCCCCCCCCCCCCCCCCCGCGUCUGUCCCCCCCCCACUCCGUCUACUCUCUCCUCCCCCUCCCGCCCGGUCUCCUCCCGCCGUCUGCCCCUCCCCCACCGUCUGCCCCUCCCCCGCCUGCUCCCCGCCCCCCCCGCGAGCUCGCGGCCGCCUGGUGUGCGCAUGCGCGGGCCCUUGGAGCGCCGGAACUCGGGUUCGGGGCCGCGCAGCCGGCGGAGCGCGUUGGACGAGGCGCCGGACGUCGCGCGGUGGCGGCGGCGGCGGCGGCGGCGAAGCUGGAGCGGCGGUGGCGGCGGCGGCGGGAGGCCGGGGCUGAGGCCGGGGCCGGGGCUGCGAGGCCCGCGGGGCGGCAGGCGGCGGCGGCGGCCCGGGGCCCGAGCCCGGAGACGGGAGCGGCCGCCAUGGCCGAGAGCAUCGUGA